rnacentral:rRNA from 1 species
GAUUUCUGGCUUGAAACAUUUAACCGGCCACGGUUUCGUGUGUUAGUGUUAGAUGUUCUGGCCAUCCUUUCAAUUACUGUUAGUUCAUCUUCGUUGAUGGGUUAAUAGUAUUGAAUCUUUUACUUUGAAAAAAUUAGAGUGUUUCAAGCAGGCUUUAUGCUAUGAAUACAUUAGCAUGGAAUAAUAAUUUAGGACUUCGGUUCUAUUUUGUUGGUUUCUAGGACUGAAGUAAUGAUUGAUAGGGAUAGUUGGGGGUGCUAGUAUUCAGCGGCCAGAGGUGAAAUUCUCGGAUUCGCUGAAGACUAACUUAUGCGAAAGCAUU